CUUGCAAGUCUCUGACUUUGUGAUUUGAAAUAACUCAGUUAAAACAUGGUUUCUCCAACUGGGAGAAGAGAAACUUGUGGAAAAGUUGUGUGUGUGUUUUUUCUAAGAAUAAAGGCAGCCAAGGUAAUAGCCUAAAAAUAGUACCCAGGCAUAUGAGUUGUCCUGUGGGGUUAAAGCACACACUGUUCGGCUCUGUAGCAUUAGCCCUGGGUGGGUGUCCAGGGAGGUUAGCUCAACCCCCCCAUGUUGGUUUGACCUGUUAAGAGAAUGGAGUCAUUGUUUCCUCUUGACCAGGGUCUCCCAUCACUGGAGGAAUGUUCAGUAAGAGUCUCUAUCCUGAAUAUUGACAUGUAGGAGACCAAAGUGAUUUUUGUGAUCUUAGUUCUGGAAUUCUAAAAACUCUCCAAGGAAUUACAGUGGUUUUGGUACUGCUCAGCAUUUUUCCAUGAGGACUUUCAUAUAUUUGACCUUUAGUCCACAAGUUCCCAUGAGCUGUAAACAAAAUACCUGUCUCUUCAGUCUUGGUGAAGAGCAGUCUCCUUCAUUUUUUAACCAGGGUGUGUAUAGCUAAUUGUUUUUGUGUGAUUUGAGAAAGUUUGAGCUUUUCUUGAAGUUUCAUCACUUAAAAGGUCAUGGACUCACAGGUGGUACUAGCUUUUGACCACAUUCAGUACCUUUCUG
rnacentral:lncRNA from 1 species